rnacentral:tRNA from 2 species
GGGCCGUUAGCUCAUCUGGAUAGAGCGCCAAAUUCCUAAUUUGGAGGCAGCAGGUUCGAGUCCCGCACGGCCCACCA